AUGCAUAUGAUGAUCUACUGGAUUCCCCUUCAUGACAUUGUGGGUGAUGAAGCCCGAGUUUCUGAUGCU